rnacentral:rRNA from 1 species
AUACGGAGGGUGCGAGCGUUAAUCGGAAUUACUGGACGUAAAGCGCGCGUAGGCGGUUUGGUCAGUCGGAUGUGAAAGCCCUAGGCUCAACCUGGGAAUGGCAUUCGAUACUGCCUGACUAGAGUAUGGUAGAGGGAAGUGGAAUUUCCGGUGUAGCGGUGAAAUGCGUAGAUAUCGGAAGGAACACCAGUGGCGAAGGCGACUUCCUGGGCCAAUACUGACGCUGAGGUGCGAAAGCGUGGGGAGCAAACAGGAUUAGAAACCCCGGUAGUCC